UACGAAGGGGGCGAGCGUUGUUCGGAUUUACUGGGCGUAAAGGGCGCGCAGGCGGCUAUCCAAGUCAGGCGUGAAAGCCCCGGGCUUAACCUGGGAGGUGCGUCUGGGACUGGGUGGCUAGAGUUCGGGAGAGGAGAGUGGAAUUCCCAGUGUAGAGGUGAAAUUCGUAGAUAUUGGGAAGAACACCGGUGGCGAAGGCGGCUAUCUGGACGACAACUGACGCUGAGGCGCGAAAGCGUGGGGAUCAAACAGG
rnacentral:rRNA from 1 species